rnacentral:rRNA from 1 species
CUGCUUUUAUACGGGAAGAAUAAGGGACACGUGUGUCCUGGUGACGGUACCGUAAGAAUAAGGACCGGCUAACUCCGUGCCAGCAGCCGCGGUAAUACGGAGGGUCCGAGCGUUAUCCGGAAUUAUUGGGUUUAAAGGGUCCGCAGGCGGGCAAUUAAGUCAGGGGUGAAAUGGUGCGGCUCAACCGUAGCACUGCCCUUGAUACUGGUUGUCUUGAGUCAUAGUGAAGUGGCCGGAAUAUGUAGUGUAGCGGUGAAAUGCAUAGAUAUUACAUAGAACACCGAUUGCGAAGGCAGGUCACUAACUAUCGACUGACGCUGAUGGACGAAAGCGUGGGGAGCGAACGGGAUUAGAUACCCCGGUAGUCCACGCCGUAAACGAUGGAUACUAGCUGUCCGGCACCUUGAGUGCUGGGCGGCCAAGCGAAAGUGAUAAGUAUCCCACCUGGGGAGUACGUUCGCAAGAAUGAAACUCAAAUGAAUUGA